rnacentral:rRNA from 1 species
UACGGAGGGUGCAAGCGUUGUUCGGAAUCACUGGGCGUAAAGCGCGUGCAGGCGGCCUCCUAAGUCUGGUGUGAAAGCCCUGGGCUCACCCUCGGAAGUGCACUUGAGACUGGCAGGCUAGAGUACGGUAGAGGAGGGUGGAAUUCCUGGUGUAGCAGUGAAAUGCGUAGAGAUCAGGAGGAACACCGGUGGCGAAGGCAGCCCCCUGGGCCUGUACUGACGACCAGGCACGAAAGCGUGGGGAGCAAACAGG